rnacentral:rRNA from 1 species
CCUACGGGGGGCUGCAGUGAGGAAUAUUGGACAAUGGGGGGAACCCUGAUCCAGCGACGCCGCGUGAGUGAAGAAGUACUUCGGUAUGGAAAGCUCUAUCAGCAGGGAAGAAAAUGACGGUACCUGACUAAGAAGCCCCGGCUAACUACGUGCCAGCAGCCGUGGUAAUACGUAGGGAGCAAGCGUUAUCCGGAUUUACUGGGUGUAAAGGGAGCGUAGAGGGGGCAGCAAGUCUGAUGGGAAAGGUCGGGGCCCAACCCCGGGACUGCAUGGGAAACUGUUGAACGGGAGUACCGGAGAGGUAAGCGGAAUUCCUAGUGUAGCGGUGAAAUGCGUAGAUAUUAGGAGGAACACCAGUGGCGAAGGCAGCUUACUGGACUCUAACUGACGUUGAGGCUCGAAAGCGUGGGUAGCAAACAGGAUUAGAUACCCGGGUAGUC